GCAACGUUAUCGCUUGGCAACUAAAUAGUUGCCAUGGUAUCUGGUCAUAAUUGAUAUAUUGAUUGUUUGCUUUUGCGAGCAUUGGAAAGCUUUUUUCAAAGAUCACUUCUAGACUGAAUUUGCAUGUAAGUUAAAAGAAACGCUUUUGAUAAAACAUGAAUACUGAAUCGUGGUGUCGAGUCGAAUGCCGUAACUCUGAACAAUGGACGCGAUCCAAUCGAAAACAUUUCAGUAAAGCAUUUGAAAGUAAAGUGUUUAAUGAACGACAUGACUCGGAGGAAAGACUACAUUUUCCAAAGAAAGAUCAGGUUCUAAGGGAACGCAGACAUUUUCCUGAAAAAUAUAUAUGUAAUCUGAAAUGAUGAAAAUGAAGCCUGUCUGUCUAUGGUUGGAAAGAAAGAUAGGGAUAUUUUUGAAAAACACGAAUUUUGCAUGGGAAACUCAUAGAACUAUCAGAUUACACCAUGUAUUGUUUGUAUUAAUAGAGAAGUAUAGUAAAAAUAAAAUCAGUUUUCCUGAUGAA